AUCGCUUCUCGGCCUUUUGGCUAAGAUCAAGUGUGAUAUCUGUUCUUAUCAGUUUAAUAAAUCAAACUUUUCUUUGGGGGAUUAUCCCAGGCCAUCAUAGGAGAACAUGGA
rnacentral:snRNA from 1 species